AGAAGUCGAAACAUACUAGAA
rnacentral:piRNA from 1 species